CGCAGCCACUUACGAGUUGUUUCGGCCUCUCUGCUCUGGUCCGCACUAAACCUGGGGGCGGUCACAGGGCCGUCUGCUUUCUGACGUCAGACCAGGCUCCCAGGGAGGGAGUAGAGCUGAGGCCCGCCCUGCCCCGCAUCAGCUCCCACGCACACCUGCUCACUCGCCAGUGGCUCUGAAAGCUCCUCGGCUGCACAGAGGCCACAUCCACGGUCUGCUCGUCCUUUCUGUCCCAGCCCCUGGGAGUAUGGUCACUGCGGGCACCUGCUCCCAAUGCUCUUGGCGUCCCCCAGACCAAAGUCCGUCCAUCCCACAGAGGCAGGACAUAAGGGCCUCCCUUCCCUCUGUGGUCCUGUCCUGGGCCAGCCUUGAGGGCUGAGCUUGAGCCUCCUCCACCCGUGGAUCCCUCGGCAAAUGGGCAGCGCGGCUUUCUGAGCGGCGUCUCUGUGUGCAUCUCCGCAGGGCGUUCACAGGGCCUGGGCCCUGGUCCUGGAGGUGCGAAGGCGGAGGAGGCCCCACGCACACCUGGGGCAGCCGCCUCGCCUCGCCUCGCCUCGCCUCGCCUCGCCUCAUCUGCCCGGCAGGAGCUGACUUGCCCCAGCUGCUAGCCGCUGGCGAGGGGGCCGUGGUGGCCGUCCGGCACCCAAAUGCCUCUCGGCUCUUGGGAAUGCUGCCGAUUAGGCCGCGUUGUUGAGCGGACUGCUGUUUGACAAAGACAAUAUUAAAUGGCCGUGGAGACCAGCGAAAUCAGCUCGCUAGGAUCAGCAACGUGGAAAAUACUCUGCUUUAUAGGAUUCAGCCUGGCUUCUCUCCCAGAAAAGCAUACGGGGAAGAAGAUGCUUGGCUUGCUUAAUUAAACGAGAUGACAACAUCCAUAUUCUAGGCUGUGUGGGGGAAGGUCUUUGGAGACAGAUAGGGGCCCGGGCCGGCUUUGCUACUGUUCCCUCUGUGACCCUGGCAGGGUUCGUCAUUUCCUUAAGGAAUGAGUCUCUGAACGGACGCUGCCCACCCUGCCUGUUGCCAGUCUUGGACGGAGUCCUGGGGGCCGCUUGGAGCAUAGACACUGUGCUGGCCACCUUGGUUGGGCGUCUCAGGGGCUCUCCAUCUCUUCUCUGCCUCCAUGACCUCCGAGUCAUCAGGAAGGUCUCUCAAGAGCCCUUGUGAUUCCGGAUGGAAGGAACUACUAUAGACCGCUGACACCUUGACUCAUGUAAUCUUCACGACAGCCUGCUCAGGAAUCUCCAAUCUAUGGCUUCUGAAAUCAAGAAGGACCCAGUCUUCAUCCUCUGUGCUUCCCCCACACUGGGCUGGGAGGUUCCAAGGUGGAUGGCUCCUGACACAGAGAUCUCAGCACCUGCUGGAGCAGCAGCCACCAUGAUGCAGGCCGAGGGUGUGGGGGACACCCUCAAGGGAGCUGGGGCCACUCCAGCACCGAACUUGUAUGAGUGCAAAGCUUGAGCUGACAAUUGGGGUAGAAAAAAAAAAUGACAGAAACUCUUCCAUCUUAAAGGAGCUUGGAUGGAAACCAGUAUCUAGCAAUAUGGUCUUUAGUGCUACAAAUACAUCUCUGAACUUUAAAAUCCAAAGUAAAAUUUUAGGAUUUCUUUUCAAUAAUUUCUCCCAAACUUUUUGGAAAAAGAGGGCUGGUUGCCAGAAUAUAAGCAGUGGGCAGCAGAGUGGCAAGUCUUUGGAAUCAGAGAUCUGGAUUCAAAUCAUCCUUGUCUCAGUUCCUCUUAGAAUAAUCUCAGGCAUGUCAUCAGUCUUUCUCAGCAAAUCUCCUCAUCCAUAAAAUGAGGGGCCACUGUCUCCCUUUGUAGGCGGUGAGGACAAAGUAAAAGUAAGUAUAUAUGGUGCCUGGUCUCACAGAAGCUUGUAUUUGUUGUGAUUUGGCUGUUAGACUUUAUGAAUAAUGCUGAAGUGCUUGUUUGGUAGUGGGGGCCAUCUUCUGAAUUUCUUAUUUCCCAAGGCCCAAUUAGGAUGAGACAGACCAUAAACUCAAUGGGCGGAAUGACAGACACUUUCCAAAUGUAUUAAAGUCCCAUAAAAUGUCCUAUAGGUAGUUCUCCCUUAUACUGCCUCCCUUCUUCUCUCUAGAGUACUUAUAAAUACAGUGGUCAAUUAGGAAGCUAUAAUUAUUUAUAGAUAGCUAAAGGGUAAAUUACUCAUAUAACAUUUUUAUAGAGUGUUUACACAUUUCUGAAAAGCAUAUAGACUUUAUUAGCAUUACAGAGCCAGGGAUGGAGUCUCAUGACUCAAAGUGUGGUAAGAACAAGCAGCACCACAUUCUCUGGGAGCCUGCGAGAAAUGGAAUCUCAAACCCCACCCCAGACGUGCUGAUGCAGAGUCUGCAUUCCCAGAUGAUUUGCAAGCACACUGGGAAUUUGGGAGGCUCUGCUCACUCCUUGGUCACUCAGGCUAUGGGAUGGGAAAGGUGUUGGCUGGGGACUUAGGAGACCAGGAUUCUGCUGAUUGCUACUCAGCCUCUGCCACUGCUGCUUAGCUGAGCACCACUGGGCAAUCACAUCACUUUACAUGCUUCUUCCUUCCAUCCCCCUGAUAAAUCAGGAAUUGUGAAGGGUGAGAGGUUUUAUCUUACCUGUCAGUUAAUCAGUUAGCCUGCCACAGUGUCUGUGUAUGUGUGUGUGUGCGCACACAUGUGUGUGCAUGUAUGAGCAUGCACACACAUGCAUAAGACACAGACCUCUGGGACAAUUUUACACCUAACAAAAUGCUCAAUGAUGAAAGAUUCAAAGCUUUCUUGCUAAGAUCAGAAGCAAGACAAGGAUGCCCACUCUCAAAACGCCUAUUCAACAGUACUGGAAGUCCUAGCCAGAGCAAUUAGUCAUGAAACAGAAAUAACAGGCAUAUAAGCCACAAAGGAAGAAGUAAAACUAUUUAUAGAUAAUAUGAUUGUAGGAAAUGCUAGAGGCUCCACCAAAAACUAUUAGAACUAAUUAACAAAUUCAGUAAAAUUGCAGGAUAGAAAAUCAGUACAUAGACAUCGAUUACCUCUCUAGACACGAACAAUCUAGCUGAAAAAGAAAUAAAAAAAAAUCCCAUUUCCAAUAGUAUCAAAAAUAAUACAAUACUUAGGGAUAAAUUUAACCAAGGAGUUAAAAGAUCUAUACAAUGAAAACUAUAAAAAGUUGAUGAAAGAAAUUAAAGAAGAUGCAAAUAAAUGGAAAGAGUCUGUGUUCAUGGAUUAGAAGAAUUAAUACUGUUAAAAUGUCCAAAUGACUCAGAGCAGUCCACAGAUUCAAUGCCAUCCUUAUCAAAAUUCCAAUGACAUUUUUCACAGAAAUAGAAAAAUAAUCCUAAAUUUAGUAUGGACCCACAAAGAUCCCCAAUAGCCAAAGUAAUCCCAAGAAAGAAGAACAAAGCUGGAGACAUCAUUUCUGAUCAAGGGAUGAUCAGUGAAAUCAGAUCAAGUCUGACACACUUCCUGAUUUCAAACUAUAUUACAAGCUGCUGUAAUCAAAACAGUAUGGCACUGACAUAAAAACAUUACACAGACCAAUGCGACGGAAUAGGAGUCCAGAAAUCUCUCCCUCCCACACACUUAAAAUGCUGGGGGAAUAAUUUAGACUUAUCCCAAGGGAUAGGCAAAAAAGACAAUGAAAAGCUUUGGUGAACUAAUGCUCUAUUUGUUUUGUCUUAUUUUUCAGAGCUUCGGGGGAAAUGAGAUACAAAGAGAUGAUGUACAGAGUGGUAGAUUCUGGGGUGAAGAAAUUAAAAUAGUGAUACUGAUGUAUAAUCUUACUGAUCUAGGAAUGUUUUUUAGAAACCUGACCUGUCAGCUAAGUCCAGGUGAAUGGGUAUCAUCACCACAGUCCUAGGUUCAAGUUAGUGGCAAUUCAGGAGGAACACAUCUUGCCCAAAGACAGGAGUUUGGGGCCAUGGUUCAUAGCACUGGACAAGUGCACCACAGCAUGCCUUGAAGCCAGCUUGGACAGAUGCGCCUCUAUAUGGAGCCCUUACGCCAAAGUGAGUGAAGAGAGGGAAAUGAUGCAGAGAUGAAGAGGCAGGAUGUGUGUGUGUGUGUGUGUGUGUGUGUGUGUGUGUGUGUGGAGAGCCAGCCCAGCCCUCCUUCCAGCAUCAGUAAUAUCAUCGCUUCCUUUACUUUCUGCAUGUGCUUCUAGGCUCAAAGCAUAGCAACUCUUCCAUGUGAACUGAACAGUAUGUUAAUUAACAACAUUCAUGUUGUUAAUUGUCCUAGUUUUUCUGUCAACCUGCAGAACUUAUCCAACAUUGCAGGAGAGCAACCAUCCUUUCCCUUCAUAGGAGGUAGGUUUCAAAGCUCAGAACCAUUUCAUCAAGUCUACUUCCUACUGAAUCCAUGUGUGUUGAAAGCUAACCUCUGCUGCAGAGGUCAAGCUAUUUUGGAGGAAGGGAUUUUGUUAAAUAAAUGGAAUGAAUUAGUACUUCUAGAACCAAACUUAAACUUUAUACUCAACUGCCAUCUUGGAAAGUAGGCGCCCACAUCAGAACUUCAUAUUUCUACUCUGUCAUCUUAGCUGUCCUUCCUUUCAUUUUCCACCUCCCACAACACUCUCCAAAAAAGAAAACAGCAAUUACUUCUCUAAAUUUAGUUAGACUGUCCGAAGAUGCUCUAGAUCCCAUUGUCAUCACACUCAGAAAACCUGGAAGGGCACCUGGGCACCUGGCACACAGUAGCACAGAUAUCCAGUGAAUAAAUGAAUGGUCCCCCACAGGAAAGUGGACUACUUGCAUGGGUAUGCACUGGGAAAUCAUGGCCACCGUUUUCAGAAAUCAGUGGGGCACAAAAACUCUGUCUCAUAAAAAUCUACAAGAAGAAUGGGGGACAGUGCAAUUCCAGGAACUUAACCAAUGACCUUUGGUUAGUUCUGAUGGUGCCUAUAGGGAUAAUCUUUAAGAUUUGGUCUUACAAACGCCUCAGGUUUUAUUUUCAGUGUGUAUGGCCACUACUUGUGCCAACUUCAAGUUCAAAGACAAGCUCUGGGGACUGAGUGUGGCUUUAAGAGGGGGUUCUACUGACAGCCUUUGGACUGGCCAAGUGCUAGUCCUCACUUGGACUCUGGGCCUAGGCUCUGACCUCCACCAGCCUUGUUGGCCUAGGACCCUGCCGCCUAUGCUGUGGUCUCUGAACCUUCUUCUCCAGGCUCUAGGCUGAGGUCAGAACCUCAGCCUAUGCUGGCCUCCCUUGACUUCCUGCCUCUUCUCUGUAGACCUGGGGCACUUGCUUGUCCUGUGGCUCUGGGGGACUUCCUGGACUGGCCUCUGCCUGGCCCACAUGACCUAGGGGGUACUUGUCUUCUCAAAAUCCACACUGCCACAAACUCUCCAUCUUGAGACCAUCUCAGCAAUGAGUUAGGGAGAGGAGUGUGACCCAGUUCUGGUCAAUGAGUUUGUUAGAGGCCUUCAGGCAAAGCUCUUCUUGCUCCUAAAAAGAGACUCCUAUCAGGUCAUGUCCAGCUCUAAAUCUGAUGAUUCUAUGAGAAUUUCUUAGUUAUAACACCAUCCCCAAUGCCUCUAGUCCACCACAUUCACUUUAUAUUAAUGCCUGCAGCCCUGCCUUCGAGGUUGUACACAGCCCAAAACCAAAGUAAAUAUCCUGCCUAGGGAGAGCUAAGGGGCCAACAGAAGAUGUCUGUAAGAAUAAAGAAUUUUAUUCCUCCACACUAACCUUACUCAUUGACCUCUUUCUCUAGUUGGGAAAUAAGAAGUAGUCGAGUUAAUAAAGUGAAUUAACUAUUUUGCUUUUCAAGAAUCAAAGUCUAAGCUGUUUGUUACUGAUUCACCAAAGUAUUUCUGAGUACUAUGGAUUUGAGACAGUUGAAGUCAACAGAGUUUAUUUAAGUAGAAUGUUUAAAAAUUUUAGGCAUGAUAAUUGUAAUGUAAUAAACUCAAUAA